AGCUGCCCCACACGGCUCUGGGCCCGGGCACACCUGCACUCCGCCUCGCUCAGCCGGCUGCUCAGGGUGGCCAUCUGGACACAGGAGUCGUCCUGGGCAGAAGGACUGAGGCCCAUUUCGGGGAGGGCAGCCCAGAGACAUGCGUGCACCUGGGUGGAAUGACCUCUGCGUGGUGUCACUAACGUCUGUGACAUUGCUAUAAUGGCAACAAAGCUGGAGGCAACCCAGAUGUCCAUGGGAGGAAGAACAGCCAGCCACAGGAAGACCCAGUCCUGGCAGCUCAGCACGCAGCCCAGGAACAGGAGAACAAAGCUGCAGAUACACAGUUGGGAAAGGUCACCGAGAUGCUUUGAUAAUUGAGAAGAGAAAUGCUCAGGAGCCGGCGUGGACUUUCCGUCCCCUUUGUAUUAAAAGUGCAGUGUUGGGGAGGUAAUGCUGUAUAUUUCUGUUUGCAAGCAAUCUUUGGAGAGUGUUGCAUAACAAAAGAUUUAUCAGGUCUUUGUCCUGGGUCCUUGGAGGAAGCUUCUAAACACUGGGGGUUUCCCAAAA